UUAAGCGACUAAGCGUACACGGUGGAUGCCCUGGCAGUCAGAGGCGAUGAAGGACGUGCUAAUCUGCGAUAAGCGUCGGUAAGGUGAUAUGAACCGUUAUAACCGGCGAUUUCCGAAUGGGGAAACCCAGUGUGAUUCGUCACACUAUCAUUAACUGAAUCCAUAGGUUAAUGAGGCGAACCGGGGGAACUGAAACAUCUAAGUACCCCGAGGAAAAGAAAUCAACCGAGAUUCCCCCAGUAGCGGCGAGCGAACGGGGAGCAGCCCAGAGCCUGAAUCAGUGUGUGUGUUAGUGGAAGCGUCUGGAAAGGCGCGCGAUACAGGGUGACAGCCCCGUACACAAAAAUGCACAUGCUGUGAGCUCGAUGAGUAGGGCGGGACACGUGGUAUCCUGUCUGAAUAUGGGGGGACCAUCCUCCAAGGCUAAAUACUCCUGACUGACCGAUAGUGAACCAGUACCGUGAGGGAAAGGCGAAAAGAACCCCGGCGAGGGGAGUGAAAAAGAACCUGAAACCGUGUACGUACAAGCAGUGGGAGCACGCUUCGGCGUGUGACUGCGUACCUUUUGUAUAAUGGGUCAGCGACUUAUAUUCUGUAGCAAGGUUAACCGAAUAGGGGAGCCGAAGGGAAACCGAGUCUUAACUGGGCGUUAAGUUGCAGGGUAUAGACCCGAAACCCGGUGAUCUAGCCAUGGGCAGGUUGAAGGUUGGGUAACACUAACUGGAGGACCGAACCGACUAAUGUUGAAAAAUUAGCGGAUGACUUGUGGCUGGGGGUGAAAGGCCAAUCAAACCGGGAGAUAGCUGGUUCUCCCCGAAAGCUAUUUAGGUAGCGCCUCGUGAAUUCAUCUCCGGGGGUAGAGCACUGUUUCGGCAAGGGGGUCAUCCCGACUUACCAACCCGAUGCAAACUGCGAAUACCGGAGAAUGUUAUCACGGGAGACACACGGCGGGUGCUAACGUCCGUCGUGAAGAGGGAAACAACCCAGACCGCCAGCUAAGGUCCCAAAGUCAUGGUUAAGUGGGAAACGAUGUGGGAAGGCCCAGACAGCCAGGAUGUUGGCUUAGAAGCAGCCAUCAUUUAAAGAAAGCGUAAUAGCUCACUGGUCGAGUCGGCCUGCGCGGAAGAUGUAACGGGGCUAAACCAUGCACCGAAGCUGCGGCAGCGACGCUGAUGCGUUGUUGGGUAGGGGAGCGUUCUGUAAGCCUGCGAAGGUGUGCUGUGAGGCAUGCUGGAGGUAUCAGAAGUGCGAAUGCUGACAUAAGUAACGAUAAAGCGGGUGAAAAGCCCGCUCGCCGGAAGACCAAGGGUUCCUGUCCAACGUUAAUCGGGGCAGGGUGAGUCGACCCCUAAGGCGAGGCCGAAAGGCGUAGUCGAUGGGAAACAGGUUAAUAUUCCUGUACUUGGUGUUACUGCGAAGGGGGGACGGAGAAGGCUAUGUUGGCCGGGCGACGGUUGUCCCGGUUUAAGCGUGUAGGCUGGUUUUCCAGGCAAAUCCGGAAAAUCAAGGCUGAGGCGUGAUGACGAGGCACUACGGUGCUGAAGCAACAAAUGCCCUGCUUCCAGGAAAAGCCUCUAAGCAUCAGGUAACAUCAAAUCGUACCCCAAACCGACACAGGUGGUCAGGUAGAGAAUACCAAGGCGCUUGAGAGAACUCGGGUGAAGGAACUAGGCAAAAUGGUGACGUAACUUCGGGAGAAGGCACGCUGAUAUGUAGGUGAGGUCCCUCGCGGAUGGAGCUGAAAUCAGUCGAAGAUACCAGCUGGCUGCAACUGUUUAUUAAAAACACAGCACUGUGCAAACACGAAAGUGGACGUAUACGGUGUGACGCCUGCCCGGUGCCGGAAGGUUAAUUGAUGGGGUCAGCGCAAGCGAAGCUCUUGAUCGAAGCCCCGGUAAACGGCGGCCGUAACUAUAACGGUCCUAAGGUAGCGAAAUUCCUUGUCGGGUAAGUUCCGACCUGCACGAAUGGCGUAAUGAUGGCCAGGCUGUCUCCACCCGAGACUCAGUGAAAUUGAACUCGCUGUGAAGAUGCAGUGUACCCGCGGCAAGACGGAAAGACCCCGUGAACCUUUACUAUAGCUUGACACUGAACAUUGAGCCUUGAUGUGUAGGAUAGGUGGGAGGCUUUGAAGUGUGGACGCCAGUCUGCAUGGAGCCGACCUUGAAAUACCACCCUUUAAUGUUUGAUGUUCUAACGUUGACCCGUGAUCCGGGUUGCGGACAGUGUCUGGUGGGUAGUUUGACUGGGGCGGUCUCCUCCUAAAGAGUAACGGAGGAGCACGAAGGUUGGCUAAUCCUGGUCGGACAUCAGGAGGUUAGUGCAAUGGCAUAAGCCAGCUUGACUGCGAGCGUGACGGCGCGAGCAGGUGCGAAAGCAGGUCAUAGUGAUCCGGUGGUUCUGAAUGGAAGGGCCAUCGCUCAACGGAUAAAAGGUACUCCGGGGAUAACAGGCUGAUACCGCCCAAGAGUUCAUAUCGACGGCGGUGUUUGGCACCUCGAUGUCGGCUCAUCACAUCCUGGGGCUGAAGUAGGUCCCAAGGGUAUGGCUGUUCGCCAUUUAAAGUGGUACGCGAGCUGGGUUUAGAACGUCGUGAGACAGUUCGGUCCCUAUCUGCCGUGGGCGCUGGAGAACUGAGGGGGGCUGCUCCUAGUACGAGAGGACCGGAGUGGACGCAUCACUGGUGUUCGGGUUGUCAUGCCAAUGGCACUGCCCGGUAGCUAAAUGCGGAAGAGAUAAGUGCUGAAAGCAUCUAAGCACGAAACUUGCCCCGAGAUGAGUUCUCCCUGACCCUUUAAGGGUCCUGAAGGAACGUUGAAGACGACGACGUUGAUAGGCCGGGUGUGUAAGCGCAGCGAUGCGUUGAGCUAACCGGUACUAAUGAACCGUGAGGCUUAACCUU
rnacentral:rRNA from 1 species